GGUCGAUGAAGAACGCAGCCAACUGCGAUAAGUAGUGUGAACUGCAGAAACCUUGAACACAGAACAUUCGAAUGCACAUUGCGCCACCGGAGUGACAUCCGUUGGCACGCCUGGUUCAGGGUCGUU
rnacentral:rRNA from 1 species